rnacentral:rRNA from 1 species
AGAGUUUGAUCCUGGCUCAGGAUGAACGCUAGCUACAGGCUUAACACAUGCAAGUCGAGGGGCAGCGGGAUUGAAGCUUGCUUCAAUUGCCGGCGACCGGCGCACGGGUGAGUAACGCGUAUCCAACCUUCCGUACACUCAGGGAUAGCCUUUCGAAAGAAAGAUUAAUACCUGAUGGUAUGAUGAGAUUGCAUGAUAGCAUCAUUAAAGAUUUAUCGGUGUACGAUGGGGAUGCGUUCCAUUAGGUAGUAGGCGGGGUAACGGCCCACCUAGCCAACGAUGGAUAGGGGUUCUGAGAGGAAGGUCCCCCACAUUGGAACUGAGACACGGUCCAAACUCCUACGGGAGGCAGCAGUGAGGAAUAUUGGUCAAUGGACGAGAGUCUGAACCAGCCAAGUAGCGUGAAGGAUGAAGGUCCUACGGAUUGUAAACUUCUUUUAUAAGGGAAUAAACCCUCCCACGUGUGGGAGCUUGUAUGUACCUUAUGAAUAAGCAUCGGCUAACUCCGUGCCAGCAGCCGCGGUAAUACGGAGGAUGCGAGCGUUAUCCGGAUUUAUUGGGUUUAAAGGGAGCGCAGACGGGUCGUUAAGUCAGCUGUGAAAGUUUGGGGCUCAACCUUAAAAUUGCAGUUGAUACUGGCGUCCUUGAGUGCGGUUGAGGUGUGCGGAAUUCGUGGUGUAGCGGUGAAAUGCUUAGAUAUCACGAAGAACUCCGAUUGCGAAGGCAGCACACUAAUCCGUAACUGACGUUCAUGCUCGAAAGUGUGGGUAUCAAACAGGAUUAGAUACCCUGGUAGUCCACACGGUAAACGAUGGAUACUCGCUGUUGGCGAUAUACUGUCAGCGGCUUAGCGAAAGCGUUAAGUAUCCCACCUGGGGAGUACGCCGGCAACGGUGAAACUCAAAGGAAUUGACGGGGGCCCGCACAAGCGGAGGAACAUGUGGUUUAA